rnacentral:rRNA from 1 species
CCUACGGGGCGCAGCAGUAGGGAAUCUUCCACAAUGGACGAAAGUCUGAUGGAGCAACGCCGCGUGAGUGAAGAAGGGUUUCGGCUCGUAAAGCUCUGUUGGGAGUGAAGAAAGAUAGAGGUAGUAACUGGCCUUUAUUUGACGGUAAUUACUUAGAAAGUCACGGCUAACUACGUGCCAGCAGCCGCGGUAAUACGUAGGUGGCAAGCGUUGUCCGGAUUUAUUGGGCGUAAAGGGAACGCAGGCGGUUUUUUAAAUCU